UGAUUUUCCAUUUAACAUACAAGCCUCUAGUCCUGGGCUAGGGUACAUGUUGAUUUACGUCGGACAAAGCUACAGUUCGGUCGGACACCAGUACACUCGGGUCGGACAAACAAUAAACCCCAGUUUCACUUUGGUCGGACAGAAUGUCCGGUGGUUUCCUCUCUACGUCGGACAGUUUCACGAAUGGGUCGGACAAUGUCCGUGACCGACCGAUAUUUUAAGGCCUGCUUUUUAAUUUUUAAAACAUUUCUCAAGCGGCAAACAAACUUAAAAAGUAUGCUAAAUUGAAGAGAUUUUAGAUUGUACGCCAAAGAGAAAAUUAUGUCUGAAGUUCAGUAAGUUUUGUUUAUAUUGCUGUAUAAAUAUGGCGUCAAAUUUUACAGUAUUGAUAGGGCUGCAAAUUACUGUCGGACAUCGGACAAUGUUCGACUAAAUUUGGCAAAUGUCCGAGCAAAAGUAAUUUUGAUCGGACAUUGGUCCGAUCACAAAAAAAUUGUCACAUUAUACAUUUUUUGCUGUGACAA